AAGGGGGCAAAAUCUGUGCUGUUUGUUACAAGUUGUCAUUAGACUAACCCUGUGUUUCGCUUUCUUCAUAAAGCGUUCCUUGGUUACUUAUAUAACUUGCACGGGGUUGAGCCACAAAAAGUUUAAUAUAUAUCAAUUUUGUAGUUCGUAACGGAUGCAACACUGUGAACCGAAGUUCGAUGUCUAAAAACUUCACUUUUGUGACUGAAAAACUGUUAAUUUUCAAACUGACAUGAUGGCGGAAAACGAACGCAAAGCAUCGGACGAGCGCCGAGAAACGAUCAGCCGUAUUCCCGCUAUUAUUUCUCAAAACCAAAGUCCUUUACACACGGUCAACACUCGUACCGUGCUGCUUAAGCUAAUUUCCGAAGGAUGUGACGUCAACGCUACUAACAUCCUGGGAGAGACGCCGCUGCACGCGCAGGUCAUGCGAAAUAACUUUGAAUGCAUUAUUGGUCUAUUAAGCCGCGGGGCGGAGCUAGAUCGUCGCGAUUACAAAGAUAAUACCCCGUUGCAUGGGGCGAUUCUCUAUAACGCCAAACCCAUUAUUGCAAAAUGCCUGGUGGUGUUCGGCGCUAAAACCACCGCCACCAAUCGUGCCGGUGAAUCCCCGCUGGGCAUCGUGGAGAAAUCGAUGCCCUCCAAGCGGCGGGAUGAGCUCAUGGUUAUCCUGAGUAUCGGGUCGGGAACUUCGGUGCAUGCGACACCGCGCACGCAGCGUAUAUCGGAGAUUCGACAGCAGUUGCGCGAUGAAAGCCAAGCGCAGGGCAAACUGGAUGAAGAUGAAACGGAAGGGACAUCGCAGACGCCAACAUCCAGCAAACGGAGAAAGCGGGAAAAUGUUUUGUGUUUGGAUGGCGGCGGAGUACGUGGGAUGAUACUCAUUCAGCAGUUAAUGGCCAUAGAGGAGCAGCUGGAUAAACCAAUAAUUGAGUAUUUUGAUUGGGUAUCGGGAACGAGUACAGGAGGAAUACUGGCUUUGUGCCUGGCAAAAGGCUACAACGUCCGCGAAUGCAUGGCAUUGUAUUUCCGCAUGAAGGAUCUGGUGUUCAGUGGGAGACGACCGUAUCGAAGCGAACCCUUGGAGGAAAUGCUAAAAGACCUCUACGGACCGGAAACACCGAUGAGCGCAAUCGAUAAGCCGAAACUGCUGAUUCCGGCAUGCAUGGCAGAUCAGUUACCGUUAAAUCUGCACUUCUUUCGCAACUACUGCCACCCACGCGCAACACGAAGUGUGCAUAAUCUUCAGCAUUGCUUGCACGGUCCACGGCGCAGCGAGGAUGAUUGUCACACACAGUUAAUGUGGAAAGCUGGCCGAGCCACCGGGGCGGCGCCUACAUACUUCCGCAGUUUUUCCAGUUAUCUGGACGGCGGACUUAUUGCAAAUAACCCCACACUGGAUACAAUGACAGAAAUUUUUGAGUUUUAUCAACAUUUAAGGAGUGAGGGGAUACCCGAAAUUCCGGAAAUCGGUGUUGUAGUUUCCUUAGGUACAGGGAUAGCGCCGCCUGAGUGUGUGACGUAUUUUGAUGUGUACCGUCCAGAAACUUUUCAAGAACUGAAAACAGCGCCGAGGAUAUUGACUGGGUUUUCGACAUUAGGACGGAUGAUUAUAACGCCACAGACGCAGAUGGAAGAGCUGUGGAUCGCUCGCGCGCCUGGUGCGAAUCAUUAGGAAUACCAUUUUUCCGGUUCAGCCCGUUAUUGAAUCGUUACGUUGCAUUAGACUGCACCGACGAUGAAAUACUUAUAGAAACACUAUGGGAAACCAGAUUGUAUGUGAUCAAUCAAGCCAUAAAGGUCAAACGUGUCUCUGACAUUUUAAGGAAAUCCGUGCAAAGUCAGUGAACGUCAAACUGUGAUAAAUUUUGUCUGGUAUCGAUGUUGUUUGCGUUGUUCGUGUAGGCAUUUACAAUUAGUUCAAGUCCACUUAGUAUUUUUGUAAAUUACUGGAUGAUGCUGCCUAACAGCAUUGAAGUCAUCGUUCCUGAACGCUGUGAUCUGUUGAUGACUGUUUUAAUUACCGUAAUCAAAAUUCGUGCAGGUUUUAGUUUUUCUGCUGUUGCUGUAUGCGCCGUCUUGGUAAUAUUAGGCAGCGCGAAGAAAAAGAGCGAGAAUCUCGAAACGGAGCUUGUGGUUCAUUGGGGCUUUUUACAGAAGUAUACGCUUGUAGGCUUACUCGUAUAUGAUCACCUUUUUGUGCUUACACUGGGUCUCAAAACCUCAAACUGGAUAAAAAGUCAACGCUUUAUAAGUGCCCGCGAGAAAAACAAGUCCCCGUCGACACUGAAAGUCGUACGGAUUUUAUUAAGGCCGUUUUUUAGGUAGUAUUCGGCAGAUUGCUAUUAUCGUUGUUCCGAAACUCUAUAGGUAGUUAGUACACAAUACUUGUCUAUUCCGAAUCGAUCGUAUACUACACGGAGUAGCUCAGGUUUGGUUUUUAUAUGAGUUGUUGGUUAAUUGUAUCUUUUGCUGGCAAAAUAAUAUUGUACGGAUGUCACACGCAUAGAUGCGAUUACAGUACUCAACUUCUCUCUGUCAGUCAUCACCCAUGG